AACGAACGCUGGCGGCAGGCCUAACACAUGCAAGUCGAGCGAGGACUUCGGUUCUAGCGGCGGACGGGUGAGUAACGCGUGGGAAUGUGCCCUUCUCUACGGAAUAGCCCUGGGAAACUGGGAGUAAUACCGUAUACGCCCUAUUGGGGAAAGAUUUAUCGGAGAAGGAUCAGCCCGCGUUGGAUUAGGUAGUUGGUGGGGUAAUGGCCUACCAACCCGACGAUCCAUAGCUGGUUUGAGAGGAUGAUCAGCCACACUGGGACUGAGACACGGCCCAGACUCCUACGGGAGGCAGCAGUGGGGAAUCUUAGACAAUGGGGGCAACCCUGAUCUAGCCAUGCCGGGUGAGUGAGGAAGGCCUUAGGGUUGUAAAGCUCUUUCAGCUGGGAAGAUAAUGACGGUACCAGCAGAAGAAGCCCCGGCUAACUCCGUG
rnacentral:rRNA from 1 species